GAACGCUGGCGGCAGGCCUAACACAUGCAAGUCGAACGGUAACAGGAAGAAGCUUGCUUCUUGCUGACGAGUGGCGGACGGGUGAGUAAUGUCUGGGAAACUGCCUGAUGGAGGGGGAUAACCACUGGAAACGGUAGCUAAUACCGCAUAACGUCGCAAGACCAAAGAGGGGGACCUUCGGGCCUCUUGCCAUCGGAUGUGCCCAGAUGGGAUUAGCUUGUUGGUGGGGUAACGGCUCACCAAGGCGACGAUCCCUAGCUGGUCUGAGAGGAUGACCAGCCACACUGGAACUGAGACACGGUCCAGACUCCUACGGGAGGCAGCAGUGGGGAAUAUUGCACAAUGGGCGCAAGCCUGAUGCAGCCAUGCCGCGUGUAUGAAGAAGGCCUUCGGGUUGUAAAGUACUUUCAGCGGGGAGGAAGGGAGUAAAGUUAAUACCUUUGCUCAUUGACGUUACCCGCAGAAGAAGCACCGGCUAACUCCGUGCCAGCAGCCGC
rnacentral:rRNA from 1 species